rnacentral:sRNA from 1 species
CACUUAAUAGUAAAAGUAGUAUCUGAUAAUUUAACUA